UACGUAGGCAGCGAGCGUUGUUCGGAGUUACUGGGCGUAAAGGGUGUGUAGGCGGUUGUUUAAGUUUGGUGUGAAAUCUCCCGGCUCAACUGGGAGGGUGCGCCGAAUACUGAAUGACUAGAGUAUAGUAGGGGUAAAGGGAAUUUCCAGUGGAGCGGUGAAAUGCGUAGAGAUUGGAAAGAACACCGAUGGCGAAGGCACUUUACUGGGCUAUUACUAACACUCAGAGACGAAAGCUAGGGUAGCAAAUGGG
rnacentral:rRNA from 1 species